rnacentral:rRNA from 1 species
GACGAACGCUGGCGGCGUGCCUAAUGCAUGCAAGUCGCACGCGGCACCUUCGGGUGCUGAGUGGCGAACGGCUGAGGAACACGUGGGGACCUGUCCGGGAGUGGGGGACAACACCGCGAAAGCGGUGCUAAUCCCGCAUACGCUCUGAGGAGGAAAGCCGAAAGGCGCUCCCGGGUGGCCCUGCGGCCCAUCAGGUUGUUGGUGGGGUAACGGCCUACCAAGCCAAUGACGGGUCGCUGGUCUGUGAGGACGACCAGCCAGACUGGGACUGGGACACGGCCCAGACUCCUACGGGAGGCAGCAGCAAGGGAUUUUCGGCAAUGGGCGCAAGCCUGACCGAGCAACGCCGCGGGCAGGAAGACGGCCUUCGGGUUGUAAACUGCUUUUGCUAGGGAUGGUAACAGACAGUACCUGGCGAAUCAGCCCCGGCUAACUCUGUG